GAGUCCCUGUAGUGCUUUCUUCUUCUGAAGACUGCUUGGUAAUGCUUAUAUGCUGCCUGGAGCUCAUUGCCACCCCUUACACACAGUAGAUGCUGAUCCCCACCCCACCAUGGCCCUCGGGGAAGGGUGACCCCAGCUUCCUCUUCAUGGGCCUUUAGCACAAGACCAACUGCACCUCAGCAGAAAUAAGUGGCAUAAGUGAGGUCAGUGGUGAUUAAUCCUUAGAACAAGGAUAUGCCACUGCGAAGUGGAAAGCCAGAGGGUGAACAGAACACAUCACGGAAAGGAUCCCUUUGGAAAACAGGAUUCCAGUCAAAUUCAAUUAGAACGCUGUUCCAGAUCCAAAGGCCCUGGAGACCUGAUCCACCAUGGAUUCUCCUUUUCUCAAGCCCUCUAAGUCCGAACUUUUCACUAAGGAGCUCUUCACCUGCACCCAGUCCAUCCUCUGUGCUUUUCUCCCUCUGACAUCCACAUCAGAGCUACUGACCUAAUCUUACCUCUGCAAAUGUGCUGAGACCUCAAGGAAAGGAGACGGCAGACCUCACAUGACCAGAAGCGGGUCUAACCCAGAGCUGCCAUCAUAAGGAGCUCGGGGACCACUUUAGACCUCCCAAAUAAAAUGACCUACCGCUGCCAUUCACUUUCUUUUUUCUUUUUGUCUUUUUGAGACAGGGUCUCACUAUGCAGUUCAGACUGGCCUUGAGCUCACUUUGUAGCCCAGGCUGGUCUUGAACUCACAAUGAUUCUCUUGCCU
ensembl:lincRNA